GGCAACUUAUGCAACAAACAUGGAAACUCAUGGAAAUUAAGUGCCAGGAUAAAUAGUAUUUGUUGUUCUUACAAAUGUAAUAGACCGUGAUUGCAUUGUAGGUUUGCUGUGUCAGAAGUGGGGACUUUGUUUCCAUAUCUGUCUAUAAUAGCUUUAGCUCUCUGUUUGACUGCCCUUUUUAUGAAGUUUCCUGACAUAUUAUUUUUGCAGUUUGUAAUUCCUUGUUGGAGACAACAUAUUUGUGGGAUCAGUAGAAUUCUGUCAUUUCUAUUUGAUAAAUAGUGAACUGGUUCACUUGCUGGUUAUAGGAAGAGACUGUCUAUCAAUUAUCUAUCUAUCUAUCUAUCUAUCUAUCUAUCUAUCUAUCUAUCUAUCCACUAAGCCCUAAUAAUUAGAUACCCAAUAUACAAGAGAAAACGCUUUAAUUUCACAUUGUGAGCCUGCCUAUGUUGGCUGUCUUAAAUUCUAAUUUAAGUUCUAUGUUUCAGUCUUUUCUAAUCAGAAACACAAGCUAUCUGUGUUCGAGUUUCAACAGGAAAAGAACAAAUGGAAAGAGUCUCCUACUUCUAAUGUAAUUAUUUAAUGCUCCAAAUAGUAUUGAGAAAUGCAUACAGUACAUAUAGCUAUUGGAAAUUACUACCCUGGGAAAACAAGAAGACUCUGUCUUGAAUAUCACCACAGACUGGGCUUCAGUGGAUGGACAAAAGAAUGCGGACAGUGAGGAAACAUGAUCUUCCAACUUAGUCUGCCCUUCUAUUCUCUUUAUAGAGGAAUAGAGACAUGAAAACUUGAUCUCUCCGGAGGGAAAUUGUAGUACAAAUGACACAAUAAAUCCUUCUGUACCUCAAACUACUAAAGUUCCCCUAAAGAGGUGAAUAAAAUAAAUCAGACAUGCAAGCAUAACACUCUUCUUUUUCUAUCAAUCGGGGCUUUCUUUAUAAAGAAAAAGCACUGAGAUGCAAAAUGGUGAAAACAUACUUUUUCUGGAACUUAACUGGAGAUCAUUUACAGCUUUACCUAGUCUCCUUCUUACAAGGAAGAGAAAGGACUUUUCCAUGCUUUCCCCAACAUUUAAUAGGGCAGUAAUGAAUAGGUUUUCACAACAUUGUUAACCUUAAACACAUUUCAACCUUUCCCCUCUUCCCAAAAUAACUUUGUUUAAUUUCAGUGAAGGUUCAAAUAUACUACCAAAUUAUACUCGUUUUGACUGUUUUGACUGUCAUGGCUUCCUUCCAAGGAAUCUUGGGAGCUGUAGGUUUGAGACUGCCAAGAAUUUGCUGUUGUAGCUUCUCGGCAGCCUUGCUAUAACAUCUUUGGGUUUUAAAAUAAAAGCCAUGGCAGUAAACUAGUUGAAAACCUGGUGUUGUAAAGGUUGCUGUACAAAUGUAGUAUAAGUAUUUGGGAGGAAUUUAAAAUACCAUAUUACCAUAAGAAUCACAAAAAAUGAACUGAAGUGCAUGAUAAAACUAGCAAGAUAGCAUGACAAAAUUAAAAUAAAUGUAAUCUUAAUCAGUAAGUGUUUACAAGUGAUGCAAAUUUCAGAUUGGUAAACACAACAUAUUUCUUCCUUAGAUGUAGUUUUAAGUAUGUUCUGGAUUACAGUCCAAAUCAGCGCUUAACUAUUACAGAGGGUCAAUUAAAAAUCAAUUGAAUAAAUAGCGCUAUUCAAGUAGUGUGUGGGAUGCAGGUUUAUGACCUGAAUUGUCUUAUAGAGCUCAGUCAGACUACUUUCAAAUACCGUGUUGCAGUAUUCUUUAAAAACUCUUGAGAAAUAAUUUUACUCCAAACUUAAAUUACCAAGAGAGCUGCAGUGCAGCGAUAGUAGCAAUGCAAUGUAUUCUGAACUUUGAGGGUAAAUAGCAAGUAUGUGUACAAACUCCUUUGGGAGAGUUAAAGUUUUAUUUAAGUCAUUGCAAAUUCAGCGUCAUAUGCUUUUCUGCUUUUGGCUAAUUUCUAAAUGGUAUUUAGACAGUAUUUUCAUAUAGAAGCAAACUUGCUUAGUAAAUAACAUUCCUCUGGAAACACUGAAUUUCUCAAGGUCACAUUGCUGAUACCAUUAAGAUUCUGUAGCCUUUUAAUAUAUACGUUUGUCUUAUUCCUCACAUCUGCUUCCUACCUUAGCUUAAAAAUGGAUAAUUAUGGGUAAUGGUUGUGAUGUACCACUCUUCCUUGAAAGCGUAAUUCACACUUUCUCCUCGCUUUCUGAAAGGUAUAGUUUAAGUUUUCAACUUAAUCUCUGUUCAUACUAAAAGCUUAUUGAAAAUUAUCACAUGGGAAUUGAACUUGGAGCAAAAUGGAAAUACUUUAACUGCUGUUAGAAACCACUGCUGUGUCUUUCUUUAUUCACUGUUCUUAUGUCAAGCAUGAAAGGAGGAAGGCCAGCUAAAAUGGAGAUGAGGGGUUGUAUGAUGGCACUUUGUUGAAUAUGAAUCCUGACAUAAUUUGUGGAAUGAAUAAAAUGGUAUAACAGGUAUAAUAUGUAUUUCAAAACGUAUCAGAAUGCAUACCGAGCACUCGUAUGAGUGCUUAAGGUACAAAGCUGGUUAAAUUAUGAAAACUGUAUAGAUGAUGGUGAAUUAAAAACAAUUCCUUUCUAGAUAAUUGGUGAUUAAAGUUUGUGAAUACAAAACUAUUCAUAAUUUUAUAGUUUUAACCUAACUUUCAUAGAUUAAAGAUAGCAGACCCUCCCUAUUUUCCAGGGACAGCCCUGAUUUAAAGAAGCUGUCCCGGUUUCUGAUUUGAUCCUGGCAUGUCCUGCUUUUCCUUAGGAUGCCCCCUAUGUUUAUUGGAGAAAUGUUGGAGAGUAUGGUGUUCUGAAGACAAUCCUGUAUAGGGAAGUGGGUUUUUGUUAUGUUUAAUGUUUUAUUAUGUUAUUAUAUAUGCAGGAAGCUGCCCGAAGUGCUGGGGCAACCCAAUAAGAUGUGUGGGGUAUAAAUAGCAAAAUUAUCAACAUGGAAUGGGACGUCCCUAUUUUCAUAAGAGAAAUGUUAGGGUUUGGGAUAGCUGCAGUAUGGUAGGAAGCCAUUUGGACCUCUGACAUACUGUGUAAUUAUGUCCUUGGUACAUUGGUAUCUGGACUCUUGGUGUACCAUUCCUUUCACAAAGGGGCUGCUGUGGGUACAGGUAGCCUCCUUUGUGAUUUAUAUGCAGGCAGUCCAAAAUUAAGUUCUUCGCUUUUAAAAAUCUCAGGUAACAGGCCUAUGAAAUGCCUCUUUGUCUGAGAUUUGGAUUGCUGCUGCCAGUCAGAAAAACCAGUGCUGGAUUAGAUGGACCAUUGGUUUCACUCUAUAUAUACCUAAUUAAGGACAAGCUGGACAACUAUUAAUUAGAAGUCAUCACCACAGUGAUAGACAGAAGGACAGAAACACAGCGUCAGAUCUUCAGCUGCAACUGUCUAGGUUAGCCUUACCUUGGAACUUUGAGCUCACAGUUAUCAAAGUUUUAGUCGGACUGUAUGCCAGUAAUAUGUAAUCGGAAAAUGUUUUUUUCUAACAUCUGUUAUUGAUCUGAAAAUUUAUAUUGAGCUAAUAGCCGAUUUCCUAUUGUUUUCCACAGCAUUUCCAAAUGCUGGCUUGUGAUCACUGUAUAGUGUGACAGUAUGGUGUCCACUAGUCUUAAAUGUCUCUCUGACAGUAGGCAGUGAGAGGAAGGCAGCAAAGCUUGUCAGACAGGCUGGUUUUCUAAAAAGGAAAGCUAUAUACAGCAUAUGUCAACUGAUCAAAAGCCUCCUGGUUUUUGAUCAUUGGUGGAUAUAAGCGGAGUCAUCCAAGCUUCCUACAUUAUAGUAAAAUAAAUGAUGUUGCAUUACUACUGACAUAAAAAGUGGACAUUGUUAGAAUGUUUAAUAAUAUGGGAAGAAAAUUAGGGCCACAUUUUAGAGAGGAAAUGGUCCAGUCCUUAGGCCUCUUUUUUUCUUCCUUUUCUUCUCCCUUGAAUGGUCUUUUCUAUUUAGAAAGGCUAUUGUGCUAAGAAAAAACCUUCUGUCAUAAUAUGAACGAGCAGAAGAGAAGUGGCAGGAUGUGAUAGCCACUAUAGAUGUAUAGAGGGAAGAAAAAGGAAGCAGGGAUAAAAGUUGAUCAAAUGGAUGUGAUCUGAAGUGGCAUGAUAUAUUUUUGAAUAGCAGCAAUGAAUAGUAGAAAUUGAGAAGGGGUUUCAAGAUGAAAAAUAGGAUAACUUUGAUCAUGUUAAUAUUGAGCUGUCAGCAAGCUGUCUAGAAAUGCAUAUUGUAGGCUGAAUCUGAUAUCAUCAGGGAAAGUUUAAUUUAUUGCAGGUAUGCACAGCUUUCCUAACUUUAAGCAUAGGCAACCUCCUCCCUGCAUAACAGUCUGAUUGCAGAAAGACUGGUUCAUGUUUUGAGGAUACACAGUAGGAAACCUUCAAAGGUGCUGGGGGGUGAGAAGGGUUGGAUUCUAUGCAACAACAUAUGGAUAUGUCAGAUGCUUUCAUUCUUGUUUGAUGGAACAAAUUUUACCAGACUGGAUUUGUAACAUUCCAGUGGUAAAUUUUAUAUAAAGUAUAUAACGCAAUGUGGUAGCUAGGAGGGUGGUCUGGUUUAGCAGAAGCUGAUGCAAUAUGUUAAGAUUUCUGACCAAGUAUUCCUUCAAGAGAGGGGUACUUAUUUUGGUUUAAGAUCCUGUCAUAUGUUAAAACAAGGCUUGUUUUUUGAGAUCCAACAAUGAAUAUAGGGCAGGAGAAAGUCAGUAAAAUUAUUUAGCAAAAGUAAACUAGAGAUGGUAAUGAGAUCUUUUGUAGCCAAAAGGUAUUUUCUUUUUAUCCUGUUAUCCACAGAAAUGGAAAAUAGAAAUGCCUGUCUAUUGUGUUUAAAUCACAAUUUCCAAAAGCUUAACUCCUCUGCUUUUAAUUU